GAUAGCUUUGCUCAUUGUUUAUUAUCAACUAGAAGGGACAUUGAACACAUGAUCAAGCACUACAGUGAGGUCAACGAGAACACAUGAUCAAGCACUACAGUGAGGUCAACGAGAACACAUGAUCAAGCACUACAGUGAGGUCAAUGAGAACACAUGAUCAAGCACUACAGUGAGGUCAAUGAGAACACAUGAUCAAGCACUUCAGUGAGUUCAACGAGAACACAUGAUCAAGCACUACAGUGAGGUCAACGAGAACACAUGAUCAAGCAGCCUCUGGGAGACAGGUGUAACUGAGUACAAAUCUAC